CACGGUUAUAAAUUGUACGCACAAGUCUCAAAGAACUCGAAGAAACUAGAUAGUAUUGUGGCUGCAGCAGAAAAGUUUUUGCGACUCAAGGAUUGUACAUCGAAAGACUUGCAAGGGCACCGGAAGACCCGCCCAUGUUCCCCUUGAGCAUGCGUAUGGAUCAGACCAGUUUUGAACAGAAAAGCUGUUCGAUUUAUUGAUUAAAGUUUUUUGGAAGUUCAGUUUUUUGGGGAAACCUGUUUCCGACCCGCAUAGUAUGUGGCGGGAUGUACAUUAAAUUGUGUGAUCGCCAAUAUACCAGGCAUAGAAGAAGAGGUACUCUAAUUUCUUUCUAAAGAAGAAGAAGCAGCUGCUACCGGAAAUGAGUAUUUGCUUGCGAUCAGUUCAAUUUGAGCAUGGCAAUGAGAGCAUUUCCACGAGUUCGACUGAUUUAAGAUUCAUACAUGCUUAACGUUAAUAUGUUCAGUAGGCGUAGCGAUGAGUUCUGGCAGUGUCCUAUACUUUGCCUCCGAAUAUAAGUCGUCACACAGAAUGGAGUUUUUUUUUUUAAACGACUGGUUGCAGCACCCAAAGAAAACGACGCCUCAUCGCAGGACGAACAAAGGACAGUGGGACAUACUCACCCUGCUCUUCUCCUUUGAUGCUGGAAACAGCACUUUGACUGAUCUUCAUGUGAGCACAGGAGCAGAAGAAAAGCUAGAGAAGACAAGUUUUUAUAUCUGUGGCGAGUUGAUUUGCAUCUAAAAGCUUUGGCGGGCCGCCUGCCUGCUGAGUGCUAAUUGGGGAUUGUGAGAAAUUUUGAAGAGUCAUCAUUUACCAAACUGACUAUUGCCUUGUUUACCACGUGAGAAAAUGAGUCCAGAGAGGGAAACAUUGUUGGAUGACAUAGCACUGAGUUUAUGGACUUUAACCGAGGAUAAUUUACGUUAUCUAUGCGAGCGGUGUGGAAUAUGUGGCCGAGAUGGGUCUGAAGUCAAAGGAGAGAGUAGACGUUCACUGCGUCAUAAAAUACUGGAGGAAUAUUGUGAGGGUGCUGAUUUAACAGAAUCCGAGGAACAAGGAAUGUCUCGGUUACUACAACUGAAAGAAGACAUCACCGGAAUAGAGGAAGAGGCUAGCGUUGUCCCCACGAUUCCCAGCCAAUCAGCGACAGCGGGCAGCUCACAAGCAUGCUGCCGUGGAGAACAGAAUGAAGAGGGAGGGGGUUGGUUUCCCAGCAGGAAGCUGGAGGCAGAGCCAGUUCCACACUGGCUCAUUAUACCACAGCAGGGAGUGCGAGUGAGGGGGUCUGAGACCAAAUGUACAGAGUCACUGGGUCCUGGUUGUGACGGUGGGCAGCAGGCCCCAGAGAUGGCGUCUUGGCAGACUCUAAAGAGGUUAACGGUGCUGCUGGAGGACUGCAGGUUUAUGCCGGGCCAGAGAGUCAACAUCAAAGUAGAAGAGGAGGAGGAGAUGAUUUCUGUCUUUGCUGAUGAUGGAAAGAGCUCAAGACUCCAAAAAGAGUCCUCAAAACCCCCCAAAAAGAGAUCUCAACGUGAGAAGAGCUCCACAAAACAAUCGCGUCUUAAACGGCACCUGCACUCUGGAGAGACGCCUCCCCACUGUUCGGGUAGCGAAGGAAGUGUCUCUACUGGGACAUUGUCGAAGACAAAACCCAAGACAGUCCAUCCUAAAGAGAAGUGUCAGAACUGCUCUGACUGCGGGAGAAGUUUCUCUUCGACGGGAUGUAUCAGGAAACGCAUGCCGUCGUUCCAUUCAGGAGAGAAACCCUUCCACUGCCUAGAGUGUAGUAAGAAGUACACUAGAUCAGAUCAGUUGAAAGAUCAUAUGGUUAUAUGCUCUGGUGUGAGACCUAACCAAUGCCCUGACUGUGAAAAACAAUGUCAGGAAGUAUCACGUGCUGUAGUAAAAAGUUUGGAUCCUGAUCACGUGUUAGUACAUUCUGGAGAGAAAUUGUAUCAAUACCCUAACCGUGAGAAGACUUGCACAGCAUCAGACCAUACUCAACAGCUGUACACACACACUGGAGAGACGCCUUACCGUUGUUCAGAUUGUAAUUCAUAUUUCGUUAAUGCGUUACAAUUUAAGAGACAUAAGCAAGAGCACACUGGAGAGAAGCCUCACCUCUGCUCCAAAUGUGAUCUUUGUUUCUUUAUAGAAGAGGAUUUAAAAGCACAUGAGACGAUUCACACAGAGAAGCUUCACCCCUGUUCUGACUGUGGGCAAACAUUUUCUACAGCGCGGUAUUUAACUAAACACAAGCGGACACAUUUAGGGAUUAAGCCUUUCCGUUGCACGCAAUGUGACAAAGGGUACACCAAUUCAGAUCAACUAAAAGUUCAUACGAUGACGCACACUGGGGAGCGACCGUACCAAUGUGGUCAAUGUAAGAAGAGUUUUAAAACCAAGCCCCAUCUUAAAUACCACCUGUUAAUUCAUGAGGUAGGGAUGUUCCACCACUGCCCCGACUGUGAUCAAAGGUUCUCCGCUGAGGAAACUUUAAAGGAACACAUGCAGUUACACAUGGGAGAGAAACCUUUCCACUGUCUGCAAUGUGAGAAGAGGUACAGUACUUCAGAUGGAUUGACAGAACAUAUGAUGACUCAUACUGAUUCUGAUGGAUCACCAAGUACCAGAAAUGUAGGAGAACAAUGUCAGGAAAUACAUGCCGUUGAAAAAAGUUUAAAUAUUAAUCAACGCCUGCAGGAACAUUCUGUAGAGAACCCUCACCCUCAUAUGUGUCCUCACUGUGAGAAGGGUUUCUCAAAACAAUCGUAUCUUAAAGAACACUUGCUUUUACAUGCUUGCGAGAUAACUUCUCGUACCCUGGUAAGUUAUCCGACUUCCAGAAGAUUAAAAGAUCAUCAGGCAAAAUCGCAUAUAGAAAGGCCUUGUAUUUGUUCUGACUGUGGAAAGAGCUUUGCUCAACUACGCAGUCUUACUAGGCACCAGAAAAUACACACGGGGGAAAAGCCUCACCAGUGCCUCAUCUGUGAGAAGAGUUUCUACAGGAAAUCUAAUCUUCAACAACACUUGGCAGUACAUGCGGGCAAGAAACCGUACCAGUGCUCUCAUUGUGAGAAGAGUUUCUCAAGACAAUUACAACUUAAGAUACAUAUGUACUCGCACACUGGAGAGCAAACUUACCAUUGUGCCGAUUGUAAUUCAUAUUUCCUUUAUGCGUUACAAUUCAAGAGACACAUGCAAGAGCACACUGGAGAGAAGCCUCACCUCUGCUCUGACUGUGGUCUAACCUUCCUUAUCGAAGAGGACUUAAAAGCACAUGAAAGGAUUCACAGAGGAGAGAAGCCUCAUCACUGCUCUGACUGUGGGCGAAAUUUCUCCUCCGCGGGAUGCUUAAAUCAACACAAGCUCUUACAUCUGGGACACAAAUCUUUCCAAUGUGAGCAAUGUGACAAGAAGUUCUCAAGAUCAUUUCAGUUGAAAGUUCAUAUGUCGAGACAUACCGGAGAGAAACCAUAUCAAUGUUCUGAAUGUGAUAAAAGUUAUUGUCUUUCCAACCUCUUACAAAAACAUCGGAGUAUAACGCACAGGGGAGAAAAACCUUACCUUUGCUCUGACUGUGGAAAGUGUUUUGGUUACCGACACCAACUCAUAGUCCACCAGCGAAUGCACACUGGGGAAAAGCCCUUUGUCUGCUCUGAGUGUGGGAAACAGUAUUCCAAUACAUGUGGCUUGAAGAUACAUCAGCGAACACAUACUGGAGAGAAACCGUACCAAUGUCCCGACUGUGAUCAAUGUUUCAUCCGGGUAGAUUCCCUUAAACACCAUCAAUCAUCAACGCAUACAGGGAAGUGGCCUUUCAACUGCAUUAUUUGCGGGAAAGGUUUUUCGUCGAGCUGUGAGCUAAAAGGCCACAUGCGCAGUCAUAGUGGCGAUAAGCCUUAUCAAUGCCCCGUCUGUGAGAAGCGUUUCACGCUCGCGGGAACCUGUCGAAAGCACCAGAAAACUCACACCGUGAGAGAGAAACCUCACGCCUGUUCUGAAUGCGAAAAGAGUUUUGUAAAUGUACAAAGACUAAAGGUACACAGGAGAGUACAUACUGGUGAGAAGCCAUACCAAUGCUCUGACUGUGGGAAGAACUUCACUCAAUUGACAAGCUUAAAUAGGCACAAGGUCAAACAACACAAAGGGAUAUAGAAAAAAAGCAGACUGCCUCCUGAGUGGCGCAGUGGUCUAAGGUACUGCAUCGCAGUGCUACUGUGCUACUAGAUAUUCUGGGUUUCGAGUCCAGGCUCUGUCGCGACCGGGAGACCCCUUGGCCAAGCGUCGUCCGGGUUAGGGGGGGUUUAGCCGGCAGGGAUAUCCUUGUACCAUCGUGCCCUAGCGACUGCUGUGGCGGGCCGGGCGUAGUGCAUGCUGACACGGUUGCCUGGUGUACGGUGUUUCCUCCGAUGGUGCGACUGACUUCUGGGUAGAGAAGCAGUGCGGCUCUCGACCUUCACCUCUCCUGAGUCUGUACGGGAGUUGCAGCGAUGAGACAAGACUAACUACCAAUUGGGGACAAAAAGGGGUAACAAAAAAUGGAGGGAGACUGAACAUGGCCAAGGAAAGAAUCACUGUACUGCUACCAUCCAGUUCCUUCAAAGUCCCGCUCCUUGACUUUUUCCACAUUUUGUGUUACAGCCUGAUUUUUUUUAAUUGAUUAAAUUGAGACUUUUUGACACUGGCUCCAUGUCAGUGGAAUUAUGCUUUGGUAAACAUUUUACAGUCAUUAAACUUGAAAAGCUGAAAUGUCUUGAGUCAAUCAUAUUCAACCCCCUUUUUGUUAUGGCAAGUCUAAAUAAGUUCAGGAUGAAAAAUGUGCUAAAGUUUGCAUGGACUCACAUUGUGUGCAAUAAUAAUAGUGUUUAACCUGUUUUUGGAAUGACUGCCUCGUCUCUCUCUUCCCCCCCACAUACAAUUAUCUCUAAGGUCCCUUUGUCGAGCAGUGAAUUUCAAACACCAAUUCAACUACGAAGACCAGGGAGGUUGAUCUAUUGAUGGAUGGGAAAAAAAGCAGACAUUUUGAGUAUUCCUUUGAGCAUGGUGAAGUAUCAGUACACCCAGUCACUAUGAAGUGGUAGGUGUCCUUCCUAGAUCAGUUGCCGGAGAGGAAGAGAACCGCUCUGGGAUUUCACCAUGAGGUCAACGGUGACUUUAAAACAGUUACACAGUUUAGUGGCUGUAAUAGCAGAACUGAAGAUGGAUCAACAUUGUAGUUACUCCACAAUACUAACCUAAAUGACAGUAAAAGGAAGGAAUCCUGUACAGAAUAAAAAAUAUUCCGAAACAUGCAUCCUGUUUGCAACAAUGCACUCUAGAAAUACUUUCAAAAAUGUGGCAAAGCAACUAACAUUUUCAGUCACGUUUUUCAAUACGACACAUUACUGAGGACCACUCUCCAAGCAUAGUGGUGGCUGUAUCAUGUUAUGGGUAUGCUUGUAAUUGUUAAGGACGGGAGUUUUUCAGGAUAAAAAAAUAGAUAUACGGAAUGGAGCUAAGCAAAACCCUUUAUGACAACCUGGUUCAGUCUGCUUUCCAACAGACACUGGCAGAUUAAUUCACCUUUUAGCAGGACAAUAACCUAAAACACAAGGUCAAAUAUACACUGGAGUUGCUUACCAAGAAGGCGUGAAAAUUCCUGAGUGGCCGCGUUUGUUUUGACUUCAAUCUGACAAGAUCUGAAAAAUCGUCAUGCAAUGCUCAACAACCAAUUUGACAAGAGCUUGAAGAGUGUUGAGGCAAAUGUUGAACAAUCCAGGGGUGGACUUACACAGAAGGAGUCCGUUGUAAUUGCUGCCAAAGGUACUAAUACAAAGUAUUGACUCGGGUGUGAAAUAUUUUACGUAAUUUGAUAUUUUUGUAUAUCAUUUUUCAGUAAAGUUGCUUGCAUUUCCAAAGCCAUGUUUUCACCUUUCACAUUUAUGGGGCAUUGUGGGGAAAAUAUAUUAAAUCCAUUUAAAAAAUGCUUUAACAAAAUGUGGAAUAAGUCAUAGGGUAAGAAUACUUUCUGAAGGUACUCGAUAUGGACUUCUACUUUGCUACCAUGUUGUUUUCAAUGCUAUUGCUCCCAUGGUUGACGAGGCUGUAUCUGAACUACAGGAACAUUUUAUUGACCUGAAAUUAGCAUUGAAUGUAGGUCAAACAAAGUAUACUGUAUGUUCUUCUAUAGAGUGCAUGCAAAUAAUUGAUUUAAAUCAUAUGUACUUUGGAUGGUGCCCAUAUUGAUUGUGUCUCUGCUUACAAAUAUUGGGGCAUCUGGAUAAGUGAAAAUCUGUCUUUCAAUAUAAAGCAUAUUGAAAGUUUAGCUGAGAAUAUAUUUUUGAUAAGUAGGUCGUGCCUUUCACUAAAUAGUUAGACAUCAUUCAGUUGACGUUCCUACCGGUCCUAGACUAUGGCAACAUCCUCCUAUAUGAACACAGCUGCCACUUCAUUAAAGCCCUUAAACUGCAUCUAUGUUAGCACAUUGCUUUAUUACGGGCGACCGGUUUAAUACUCAUCACUGCGUUCUCUACCAGAAAGUUGGUUGGUCCUCUUUGAUGUCACGUAGGUUGAUACAUUGCUAUGUUUUAAUUUUGUAAAGUCCCAUUUUUUUUUUUUUUACAAAAAAGUCCCACUGUGCCAAACACAAUUACUAACCUUAAGACCUACAGAGUUACUAAACCCAGUCUCCGGGAUGGUUAACUCUGGGCAUUCCUUUAGUCUAUACAGCUUUCUACCAAAUUUUAUUUCUUUUGCACGGUAUUUGUGGAUCAAUCUUCAAGAUGUUAGAAAAUGUGAUGUUUUGAAGCCUCUGGAAAUGCAUAAAGCUGUUUGUUGAGGACCUUUUUAUUACUGAUGAAUGUGUGUUUUCUGUUAUGACCAUGUUUUUCUUUCUGUUCGCAUUGUUUUGUAUUUUCUGUAGUUCUGGGCUCAUCUGUAAAAGACACCUUGGUCUCAGUAUGACUUACUUGAUUUAAAAAAAAUGUGUAGUUAAUUAAGGUGAGUUAUUCAUCACAGUGGAGACGCUGUAGUCUGCAUAAAAAAAGGAGACUAUGUAAUGAUUUAAACUACACGAUGUAACAACGAUUAGCUCCACAACGUAAUGAUAAGUUACAGGACUCAUUUCACCUACAAGCUCGACUGUAUUCAGUCUAUUCAGAACGCAGUCUUUAACUUUUUAAAAUUUAUUUUCAACUGUUAACAACGAUGAUUUGACUAAGCUAAGGCUAAAUUAUUUCCCACCUGUCCUACUGCCACACUAAAGAAUGCCAAUAAAAGGUAGAGCUUAAAUCUAACAAGGUUGUUUUUAGUAGAAUUAUUUGCCUCAUUGUUCUAUUUUCAUAUAUAUAUUUUUUUUAUAGAUUAGAUUUUAUAGAUUUAUUUUAUAAUUUUGAAGGACUGAAAUCUGUUUUGACCCAUUUGGAACCUGAUUUAAUUAUACAUGUUCUGUAGCCUGCUGUCAUGCCACUCGCUGUCAUAUGCCAAACAUGCUAGCAGAAAUAGACUGGCACCCAGGCUUCAUGUUCUGCACUUCUUUUUUUUAAAUGUGUAUUUUAUGCCGGCCCUAUAUGAACAUUUUUAAAAGAAUUCAGCUACAGAUGUGGAAUCACUGCAUUUUAAAAUAAAAAAAGACACUACCGUUCAAAAGUUGA